CCUACGGGAGGCUGCAGUGGGGAAUAUUGGACAAUGGGCGAAAGCCUGAUCCAGCCAUGCCGCGUGUGUGAAGAAGGCCUUCGGGUUGUAAAGCACUUUCAGUGGGGAAGAAAGCCUUGGGGCUAAUACCCUCGAGGAAGGACAUCACCCACAGAAGAAGCACCGGCUAACUCCGUGCCAGCAGCCGCGGUAAUACGGAGGGUGCGAGCGUUAAUCGGAAUUACUGGGCGUAAAGCGCGCGUAGGCGGUCUGAUAAGCCGGUUGUGAAAGCCCCGGGCUCAACCUGGGAACGGCAUCCGGAACUGUCAGGCUAGAGUGCAGGAGAGGAAGGUAGAAUUCCCGGUGUAGCGGUGAAAUGCGUAGAGAUCGGGAGGAAUACCAGUGGCGAAGGCGGCCUUCUGGACUGACACUGACGCUGAGGUGCGAAAGCGUGGGUAGCAAACAGGAUUAGAUACCCCAGUAGUC
rnacentral:rRNA from 1 species